rnacentral:rRNA from 1 species
AAUGGGGGCAACCCUGAUCCAGCCAUGCCGCGUGAGUGAAGAAGGCCUUCGGGUUGUAAAGCUCUUUCGGCGGGGAAGAAAUGGCAACGGCUAAUAUCCGUUGUUGAUGACGGUACCCGCAUAAGAAGCACCGGCUAACUACGUGCCAUCAGCCGCGGUAAUACGGAGGGUGCGCGCGUUAAUCGGAAUUACUGGGCGUAAAGCGUGCGCAGGCGGUUUUGUAAGACAGGCGUGAAAUCCCCGGGCGCAACCUGGGAACUGCGCUUGUGACUGCAAGACUAGAGUACGGCAGAGGGGGGUGGAAUUCCACGUGUAGCAGUGAAAUGCGUAGAGAUGUGGAGGAACACCAAUGGCGAAGGCAGCCCCCUGGGUCGAUACUGACGCUCAUGCACGAAAGCGUGGGGAGCAAA